CACGUAGGCGCAAGCGUUGUCCGGAAUUAUUGGGCGUAAAGAGCUCGUAGGUGGUUUGUUACGUCUGCUGUGAAAACCUAGGGCUUAACCCUGGGCUUGCAGUGGAUACGGGCAGACGUAGAGGUAGGUAGGGAGGAAUGGAAUUCCUGGUGUAGCGGUGAAAUGCGCAGAUAUCAGGAGGAACACCGGUGGCGAAGGCGGUUCUCUGGGCCUUACCUGACACUGAGGAGCGAAAGCGUGGGGAGCGAACAGG
rnacentral:rRNA from 1 species